GACUGGACUGCCCGGGGCUUGUCCCCUGCCUGCAGACACACAGCCCUGUGACUGCCACCGCCAGCUACAGGGCCAGCAUGCUCGCGGGAGGCCUCACGUUCUCCCGGAAAUCACGGUGCAAUCACACGCCCGUCGUGCCCAAGUACUUCGUUACGGGCCAGCCCUGCACCAGGCCGUGUGGUUCUCACACCCGGGGCAACGGGUCCCUUACCAACCACUCAGGGGUCCCCAGAAAUUGUACAGGAGAUGGGACACGUGCUUCCACGGAUGACUGUGGAGAGAAGCUUACGGGGUUGGGUAGGUGCUCCAGGAGUCCACAAUCGCUAAGAACCUCUGACCUAAGGUCCAGGAGACAGUGGGCCCGGCACAGCUGAGGCGCUGAUGAGCUGGGCUGGCUGAGAGCAGGCUGGACCGAGUGGCUCUCCUCCCCCCACAGGGACACGUCACCACCCCCUCACCCGUGCUCUGCAUGAUGCGUGUGCAUGGCAGCCAGUCAGGUGCAGGGCCCGGUGAGAACCCGCACGCUGGGCCUCAGGUCCGAGUGUGGGAGGCACUGGCCUGGGACACCGAGGCGUCCCCUGGGGAAGUGUGUGUCUCCUGGUCUGGGUAUCUUAACCCCUGCGGCUUACAGGGGUAGAGCUGGCAGGCCCUAGUGGUUGAGCCACUAGGCUCAAGUCCGAGUGUGGCCACCCACUGAUCCUAAGAACGAAAUCAAUUUUGUUUACGUUUUAAAACGUGAAUCAGGGGCGCCUGGGUGGCUCAGUCGGGUAAGCGUCCGACUUCAGCUCAGGUCAUGAUCUCACGGUCCGUGAGUUCGAGCCCCACGUCGGGCUCCGUGCUGACAGCUC